rnacentral:misc_RNA from 1 species
GACAUUGUUGCUGCUGUAAACAUAAAUUUUAGGAAUUUUAAAAUGCCAGUGAGAAAGUUUGGUACGAUACACGAAGCAGUCCGACAUGGCGAUGUUGAAGAAAUGGAAGGAAUGGUAAAAGAUGGUGCAAGUAUCAAUGAAAUAGAUGAUGGUCAUAAAUUUACACCAUUACAUUGGGCUUGUCAAGUUGGUGCAAUAGAGUGUUUACACUGGUUGCUAUGGCAUGGUGCAGACAGUACAGUGGCGACUCCUAGGGGCUGGACCCCCGCACAUAUAGCUGCCAUAAGAGGUCAGGAUGCGUGCAUGCAGGCUUUAGGUAACAAUGGUUCCAAUCUCUCAGCUCAGGAUGCCAGGGGAAGCACCCCAGCCCAUCUAGCAGCUGCUCAUGGCAACUCAUUUACACUACAUACAAUACUGAGAGCAGGCACUGAGGUGAACUCUACAGACAGGAAUGGUUGGAACCCUGCCCAUAGUGCUUGUUACCAUGGUAGACUGGGGUGUUUACAGCUGCUGAUGAGGUGGGGGGCUAAUGUAGAGGAUGUGGACAACAAUGGAAACACAGCAGCCCAUUUAGCUGCGAUGGAGGGCCACUUAGCAUGCCUCAAGUUUCUAGUUGCCCAGGGGCAGUCUCCAACUCAUGUCCUUGGGGCAAGAAAUGACCAGGGGGAAACCCCUAAAGUUCUAGCUCAACAGUUCUAUAAGGAGAAUGUUGUAGACUACAUCAGUGGCAUAGAAUGGGAGCGAGACCACCCUGAAGAUGAAGAAAAUCUUGCAUUCCCAGCACACGUUGCCUCAUACAAUGGUGACCUUGAACACCUGAGAAUGUUGGUGGAGAAUGGAGUUGUCAACAUCAAUGAGAGAGAUGAUAAGGGAGCUACACCUAUGCAUAAAGCUGCAGGUCAAGGUCACAUUCACAUCUUGCAAUGGAUGAUAGAACUUGGUGCUAACGCAGAUGUACGAAACCAAGCAGGAGAAACACCUAGAGAUGUUGCACAGAGGUUUGGACAACUGGCUGCCCUCAAACUUCUGGGUGGCGAUGAACAAGAAUCAGACGAAGAAUAUCCAGGGGAAGAUGAAGUAGAAGAUGGGGUUUCUAGACCCCCACAUGGUAACACUGAAGGCGAUACAAUCACUAUGAGUACAAGACAAAAGAGGGAAGCUAGAGGUAGAGCAAAGAAGAAACUGGAUGAGCUUGAAAGAUUGAUUGAGAUUGCACGUAAGAAUUUCUCCCAACUUGGCGGGAAGAUGAAGGAAGAUCGGAAAAAGAUACAGGAAGAUCGGGAAAAUGUCAGGACUAUCAAUGAGCUGCAGGCACAAUUGGACUAUGAGCGUAUCAGACGUGAGAAACUAGAGGCACAGCUUGACGAAUACAGAAGGGAGAUAGCAUUCUUACACUCCAGAUUAGAGGCAGGAACUGAACCAAGCAUGCUAAGUGAUGAUGACUACAGCUAUAGACAGCCUAGUGCUACAAAGAAGAAGAAAUCCAGGAAAACAAAAGUGAAGAAGGAAGAAGGAGGUGUCUUUAUUAAGAGGAAUAUGGCACCAAGAAAAUCAAACUUCAAAAUACUAUAACUAAGAACAAUUAGAAAUCAGAAAUCAUCUCCAAUCAUUGAAGCAACCAAUGUGAAAAAUGAAGUAAAAUGCCUUAUGAGGUCACAUGACGACAUAUAUCCAAGACAGUCAUAGUUGGAUUAAUUUCUUAAUUUUUACAUUUCUUCCAACCUAAAAACAAUUACAAAAUCAGUCAUCGCCAAUCAGAUAUCCGGUAUUAAAAUCAAGUUGAGUACUAGUAUUGAAAGAUUAUGAUUUUGAAUAGUUUGACCACUCUUUGUCAAAUAUCAUGAAUAUGUAAAGUUUGAGAAACUGGAAGGGGAUGCAAUUAUACUGCAUGGCAGAGUGUAAAAUAUUUGGUAGAAGUUGGUAGGAUUGAAGACUUAAAAUAUAUGACAAGUCUUCAGAAUUGAUCAUGUGUAUGUAGUAAUAGUCUUGUACUUUUAGGCUAUUUGAAACUGCCAGUAUGGAAAUAUAUGGAUUUCCCAAUUUGCAGAUUUCUAGCUUGAUUCAGAAAUCAAUUAUUUUUUAUAGUAAUGAUAGCAAAUAAGUUAAUUGUCCAAUUUAGCAACAAUUCCUUGUAAUUCAAUUCCAGAAGUGACUAAGCGGAAACUGUUAAUUUCAACGGACUUGUUUAAGUCACUUGUACAGGGUGAACCAAAAAAUGCAAACCGGCCAUGCAUAUGCUACAGUGAUUAAACUUUGUCAACUUAAAGAACAUUGAACCAACUUUAAGUAUGUCAAAAAACGAUUUGUCAUCUCUAUCGGUUAAAAAGAUAUGCAUUGUAGGGUAAGUUGAAUUUCUUGGUACACCCUGUAUUUGUCAGAUUAAUUUUGUAUUAAGGGCUAGUGCACUCCAUAUGCAAAAACACCUAACUCUGGAUGAUGUAAAAAUAUUCAUGAUAUUUACAUUGAAACCUGUAAACUUGAAAAUCUCUAGAUGUGGAACACCUUUGUUAGUC